GCCAGCUCUUUUCUUGAUAAUCGCAUGCGUGUAUGGUCGUUCGCUUAUGCUAUCGUUGUUUCUUACAGGUUUGGAGGCCAACCAAGACAAGAGCAAGUGCCAGCAGCAGUUCGACGAUUACAAGGAGUGCAAGAAGAAAGAGAGGGAGGCUCGGCUUGAGCGGAACAAAAGCCGAUCACUCUUUGGGUGAACAAGAGCAUUCCACCUGAGCAAUUUGCUGGUCAUGUGCAAUUAGUCGUUUCCUUAAGUGAUGGAGUGAAAUCACAGCUUCUUUGGUUUCGUGACGAUCCUUUGUAACUUGUGCAAGGAGCAAUUUAGGAAAUAGUAGACUAGUCUCUAGGUUGAGGGAAAUGUAAGGUCUGAGAACAGCUCAUUAGCUCAGUGGCUUUAGCGAGCAAGUCAGAUGAGCAAAGGAUGUAUUUUGAGAGUCAUCAGGUAUCAUGACACGAGGGUUUGUUCAAUAAAAUUGUAUUUCCUCUUGUACUCCAAAAUAUUAUCGUGAGUUCUUGCUGUUUUACA